GGCUAAUACGACUCUCGGAGGGCGUCACCUUAAACCUAUAGAGUGAUCCUCCUGUCUCAGAUUGCGCGCUCGCGACAUGCUUUACACAUACAUGUAGAGCCAUCACAGGUCUUCUGAUGCUGACGAGUGGCGAACGGGUGAGUAAUACAUCGGAACGUGCCCGAUAGUGGGGGAUAACGGAGCGAAAGCUUUGCUAAUACCGCAUACGAUCUAAGGAUGAAAGCAGGGGACCGCAAGGCCUUGCGCUGACGGAGCGGCCGAUGUCAGAUUAGGUAGUUGGUGGGAUAAAAGCUUACCAAGCCGACGAUCUGUAGCUGGUCUGAGAGGACGACCAGCCACACUGGGACUGAGACACGGCCCAGACUCCUACGGGAGGCAGCAGUGGGGAAUUUUGGACAAUGGGCGAAAGCCUGAUCCAGCCAUGCCGCGUGCAGGAUGAAGGCCUUCGGGUUGUAAACUGCUUUUGUCCGGAAAGAAAUGCUUCUUUCUAAUAAAGAGAGGUCAUGACGGUACCGUAAGAAUAAGCACCGGCUAACUACGUGCCAGCAGCCGCGGUAAUACGUAGGGUGCGAGCGUUAAUCGGAAUUACUGGGCGUAAAGCGUGCGCAGGCGGUGAUGUAAGACAGAUGUGAAAUCCCCGGGCUCAACCUGGGAACUGCAUUUGUGACUGCAUCGCUGGAGUGCGGCAGAGGGGGAUGGAAUUCCGCGUGUAGCAGUGAAAUGCGUAGAUAUGCGGAGGAACACCGAUGGCGAAGGCAAUCCCCUGGGCCUGCACUGACGCUCAUGCACGAAAGCGUGGGGAGCAAACAGGAUUAGAUACCCUGGUAGUCCACGCCCUAAACGAUGUCAACUGGUUGUUGGGUCUUCUAACUGUAUUCAGUAACGAAGCUAACGCGUGAAGUGACCGCCUGUGGAUUCCCCCC
rnacentral:rRNA from 1 species